rnacentral:rRNA from 1 species
GUGGGGAAUCUUCCGCAAUGGACGAAAGUCUGACGGAGCAACGCCGCGUGAGUGAUGAAGGUCUUCGGAUUGUAAAGCUCUGUUAAUCGGGACGAAAGAGCCUAGUGUGAAUAAUGCUAGGAAGUGACGGUACCGGAAUAGAAAGCCACGGCUAACUACGUGCCAGCAGCCGCGGUAAUACGUAGGUGGCAAGCGUUGUCCGGAAUUAUUGGGCGUAAAGCGCGCGCAGGCGGAUCUGCCAGUCUGUCUUAAAAGUUCGGGGCUUAACCCCGUGAUGGGAUGGAAACUACAGAUCUAGAGUAUCGGAGAGGAAAGUGGAAUUCCUAGUGUAGCGGUGAAAUGCGUAGAUAUUAGGAAGAACACCAGUGGCGAAGGCGACUUUCUGGACGUAAACUGACGCUGAGGCGCGAAAGCCAGGGGAGCGAACGGGAUUAGAAACCCGGGUAGUCC